rnacentral:tRNA from 1 species
AUCCGAAUAGUAUAGUGGUUAUCACGUUUGCUUUUAUACGAAAAAGAUUUCCGGUUCGAACCCGGGUUCGAGUA